UACGAACUGUGCAAACGUUAUUCGGAAUCACUGGGCUUAAAGGGUGCGUAGGCGGUCAUUUAAGUAGGGUGUGAAAGCCCUCGGCUUAACCGGGGAAUGGCGUCCUAAACUGGAUGACUCGAGUGAGAUAGAGGUGUGUGGAACUUCCGGUGGAGCGGUGAAAUGUGUUGAUAUCGGAAGGAACGCCCGUGGCGAAAGCGAGGUCCUGGACGUCUACUGACGCUGAGACGCGAAAGCUAGGGGAGCAAACGGG
rnacentral:rRNA from 1 species